rnacentral:rRNA from 1 species
AUUGAACGCUGGCGGCGGGCUUAAUACAUGCAAGUCGAGGGGCAGCACGGUUAGCAAUAACUGGUGGCGACCGGCGCACGGGUGCGUAACACGUAUACAAUCUACCUUAAACAGGGGGAUAGCCUUUCGAAAGAGAGAUUAAUACCCCGUAAUAAAUUGAACGGCAUCGUUUGAUUUUGAAAGCUCCGGCGGUUUGAGAUGAGUAUGCGUCUGAUUAGCUAGUUGGUGAGGUAACGGCUCACCAAGGCGACGAUCAGUAGGGGAUCUGAGAGGACUAACCCCCACACUGGUACUGAGACACGGACCAGACUCCUACGGGAGGCAGCAGUAAGGAAUAUUGGUCAAUGGGAGGCAACUCUGAACCAGCCAUGCCGCGUGCAGGAUGACGGCCCUAUGGGUUGUAAACUGCUUUUAUACAAGAGAAAACCCUGGUACGUGUACCAGGUUGAUAGUAUUGUAAGAAUAAGCAUCGGCUAACUUCGUGCCAGCAGCCGCGGUAAU